rnacentral:lncRNA from 1 species
ACAAAACCAAUCUUAUUUUUGGCAGAAAGAGCAACAAUCAUUUUCCUCCUCCAGCCCCCAUAACCACUACCCGAGAAGGGAGUGGACACAAGAGAAACUCCAGGAACAUCAGAGGAGUAAAUGAGAAGGGGGCUGGUAGAGUCUACUAAGGAGGUAUUAGUAUUCAUAUUAGAAGCCAUGAGUAAUGAACCAGUUUGAGAAGAAAACAGUCUCGGUAAGCAAAAUAUAACGGAACCAGAGUUCACAUACAAAGCAUACAAUACUCAAAAUAAGGACAGAGUUACCCUCCUUCUUCGCGACCGGAGAAGACGGCCUUCAAUUAAC